AGCCUGAACGCUGGCGGCGUGGCUAAGACAUGCAAGUCGUACGGUGUAGCAAUACACAGUGGCGAACGGGUGAGUAAUGAAUCGCUAAUGUACCCCGGACUCUGGGAUAGCUGCCCGAAAGGGCAGGUAAUACCAGAUGAUAUAUCCUUAUCGCAUGAUGAGGAUCUCAAAGGUCCGCCGGUCUGGGAGCAGGCGAUUUUGUAUCAGCUAGUUGGUGAGGUAAUGGCUCACCAAGGCGAUGACGCAUA
rnacentral:rRNA from 1 species